UUGUAAUGGCUCUGCCUCUACUUCAGCUUUGAUGGUGAUUGAUUUCCAUUAGGCAGGAAACAUAUUAUUGUGUUACGCUGUAGAACAAAGCAUCCAGAAAUCUGUGGUUGUGUAUUCCUUAUCUGGGUUACUACUGAUUAGUGCAAAAUGUUCUAGGUUUUUCAUAUACCUAUCAGGAAUGUAUAGGCAUGGCCCUAGUGAAGAUCAAACUGAUCUCUAAAGUCUAGCUGAUGUGUUUUCCUUUUCUAGUUUAGUAGUGUCUUGUCACGUCUAAUAUGAAAUUCUGUGUUGUAAUACGUAGUGAAGGGCACAGAGUUGCAAAUGGUGUUUGUUUUCCUUAUUUUUACCUCUACUGUUUGGAAAAUAGUCUUUUUCUUUGGUACUUUUUUUCGGCGGUAGGAGUUAUGGUUAUCGAGCUUGUUCAGGAAUGCAAUCUACUAAUCUACGUACUUCCCUUAAAAAUCUAUUCUGUAUUAGUGCUUUUUUUUUUCUUUUUCCCUUUGGAGGUUGAUCAGUCUUCCUAAUACUUGUUUAAACGUGAGAAUGUGAAUUAGCAUCCCAAAACACUAGUGUAAUACACACACAAAAAAAAAAAUGUGCAGUGUGUAUGUACCACUACGUUGAAUAUUUGAACCUAAACUAUGUAGAAGUAUUGAAGGAUACUUUUGUUCAAUGAUUGAAAAAAUACCCUGGCAAGCUGUUGUGGUUACAAUAAAAUUUGGUAAAAUGCAAGUUUAGAAGAGAAAAUCUAAUUUCCCAUAAAAUAGUCAUGCGCCAAUCCUCACCAAAUAGUCAGGAUAAUUUUUCUUUUCUUGUGGCAAAGCACUUGCCUUAUUCACCUUCAAAGACUACGCAAAGACAAACAACACAUUUUAUUUGUUAGAUUCUCUUUUGGCAAAAGGCUUGCCUUUUCACCCUUACAGACUUCACAAAGACAAACAAGACAACCUAAUUGUUAGAUUCUCACAUCGGAGUGGGAUGGAUUAUUUGCCUCUUUAUAUUAUUUUGGACUCAAUGGACAAUCCUCACCUCGUGAGCUAGCUUCAAUGGACAAUCCUCACCUCGUGAGCCAGCUUAGAGAUUGAGUUAAGCUCAAGGUUCAUUUCUUAAACCAAAUAAUCCAUGUACUUUUAGGCCAAAUACGGUGUGAUCUUAGAUUUGGGUGUCCACAACUAUAAGCCUUCAGUUAUAACUUUCCACAGCAUAAAUUUAGAAGUGAUUGCUGAAACAGACAAAAUUCAUAUGAAGAAAGAAAGCUGAAACUGUGAUCAUAUCAUUGUAGCAGCCAGAAAAUAUAAGAAAACUAACAGUCAUCGAAAUAACUGAAAAUACUCUUCUGUAAGAGAAAGAUUGCUCCAUUCUCAAACAGAGAAGCCCACUGCAUUGUUUACACAUAUACAAUAUAUUCCCUGCCUAUAUGCAGAUGAAUGUUUCAACCUUUACAUCUGCAUCAAGAAUCAAAAACUUUGAACAAGUGAAUGAGAGUUCUGGAGAUACCAUUCUAUAGCAAGCACCAGAAACUACCGAUCGAAAAAUAUGAAUUCUUACUAGCUCUGGCCUCUGCCUCCUUGUUCUACAUCCACAAUUCCGGGACUAGAAGGAUUAACCCUUCUAUCCCUACUCAAGAGCCUUUUCAAAGACCUCAAUCUUGUGGACAUUAUUGGAGAUUUCUGUUCAUCUUCUGCUUCAUUUGUCUGGUUAGGAAUAUCAAUUACCAAUGCUACACAACGCCUAUCACUCGUAGAGGCAAAUGACGACGACAAUGAUGAUGGUGGUGGUGGUGGUGGAGGACAAGGCGCGUGAGAAGAAGAAGAAUUAGGACCUUGUAAAGAGUCCUCCAAACUGCUCACUUGAGUCUCAUUUCCCCAAAACAAGAUAUUAGUUGGGAAAUUUGCCACCUCUAUAGAAACUGAAUUCUCUUCUUCCACAGCAGAGGUGGGAUUCUGAUCAUCAGAAGAUAUAUUGGAAACAGGAUUUCUACAAAGAGGGCAAGUGGAAUGAGAUUGAAACCACAUAUCAAUACAAUCCACAUGAAAUCCAUGAUUACAUUUAGGUAAAAGUCUUGCCUUUUCACCUUCAGAUACAUCACAAAGACAAACAGCACAUUCUAAUCCAUCUUUGAAUUCUUUAGGAUUGAAUAAAACUACGGGAAUAGUUUUUAGGAGUGUGGGGUCCAGGCCCCGGCGGAGAGCGGAUGUAACAUUAUUCACUUCUUGAUGAUGACUGGCCGAAGAAAAGUUGAAGCCGCGCCGCCGCCGUGUGCUGGCGUUAGGGUUGCCACCGUCUACUUGACGGCGGCGGUUCCAGAACCAUUUUGAGUAAAGGUGGAAUAAGAAAACGAAGACUAUCACAAGUAAGAUAAGUACAAUAGCUACCACCAUUAUCUUUCCAGUGAGCUCAAACAUACCUGACUCGUCUAUUUUACCAGGGGUGUGUGAAGCAUCUUCCAUUUUCAGACAACUAUUUUAAGAACCAGAAACAAGAACAAACUGGGAUUUUUCGCCGGUGCUGCUACAAGCAACAAAGGGCGAAAAAGGAAUAAUGGAAGAUUAUUAAGUUUUAAUUAGGAUCUGACAACUGAAAUUAAAACCUAAAGAAAUAUUAUCAAGGCAAAUAAAACCCAAGUGUCAGAGUUAUAAGAAAUGAAGCAGAAUUUUGGGUUUUAAGAAUAAACCCAGAAAGGAAAUUUCUCGUAUUGUCUAUAAACUUUCUGAGAAUGAAAACUAAGUAGGAAAAAGUUGUGAAAGAACACAGUAGAAAGGGAAAAGAUGAUGGAAGAUUUAGCUGUAGUUGGCAUAUAAAAUGGGAGCUGGGACUAGAGAUGCUACGACCUAUUACUUGAGGUGUGAAGAUUGAAGAAGAUAAAAGUUUGGUCUUAAGAAGGAGACAAACGGCAGAAUUAGGAAAUAGAAGAAAGUGUGUAGAUUCUUUAGGAAAAUGACAGUGGAAGGGAUAUUUAGGAAAGAGGAGUCAAUGAGGAAAAUGGUCAGGGAAAGACUCUCACCAAAGGCUGCUGCGGCGUCUAGAAUGAGUAGUACUAUAAUGUAGAAUAGAUGAAACGACGAACAAGAUUUCAAACUUCAAACAAACAAGUACCCUCUAACACUUUCCUUUAUCACUUCAACAAUUACCGGGGAAGCUUCUGCUCUGACCAUGGUUUAAUGGCGAAGUACAAUGAGUUUUUUUCGAGAGUUAAAAUAAGUUUUUUUUAAUCCCAAUUUUUUCAUAUGCAUUUUAUAUAUUUUGAAUUGGUAACUAUUAUUACUUAAUAUGCAUUUGACUUUUGAAAUUCGACUCCGCCGUAUAAAUUGGGACAUAUGAAAUACUAGGUUCGGCCGAACUCCUAUCUUACCCACUAGAUUCGUCUUAAAAUUUCAAAGUGACAACAUGUAUUAGUGAAAAAAAGGCAUGACACGUGGACUAUUAACGAGGUGACAGGGCAUGGUAUGUGGACUAUCAAUAAAAUGACAAGUAAGGGUCUUAAUUAGAUGAGUUAAAGAAUGCGGAAAAGGCACGGUAAGAAUACCUACGGGGUUACACUGAGAAAAGAGCCGGACCUGACAGCUGUAAAAGGGAAAACGGGAACGAAAUGAAUAAAGGCUGUCAAAAAGGAAAGAUAUACGAUCCUGUCAUAAAUAAAGAAGAGAAAUCAAUACGGUUACAAGAAAUCUUUAGCCAUAAAUAUUUCCGUUACAAUUGUAUAUGGUAACGGACAAUCAAGGCAAUUAAUAUCAUUAGUGAGCCCGAAUUAAGUAAGGGAAUCGUUAUAAUUGUAUGCUCCUAUAUAAGGACUGAAACCUCAUUUGUAAUGAUAUUAGAUAAUUAUUGAAAUUUAUGUAAUCAUUCUUUACUUUAUUCUCAAGGUUCUAACUGUAAUUUUGGGAGUGAUUAUUAAUCUGUUUCAUAUUUUUUUUGUCAAUUAUUUCCAUUCCUUGAUUUAUUCUUUAAAUUAUUGGGAAAGUGAAGUAAAUCUUGGUUAUCAGUAACCCGAUUUCUUCUAGAUAUUGACUUUGAUCGAGAAAUCUAUUUUUGGGUUAAACGCAACAACCAUUAGCUAAAAGAGAAGUUGUGUCGAGAUUCUCUCAGGGAUGGUUUGGUACAAUAGUGGGAUAAAUCAGGAUUCUUAAUAGGAUUACAUAUCCCAUGUUUAUAUGGGAUAAUUUAUUCCAACAUUUUAAUGUAAAAUUUAUCCCGAAAUUAGCUAAUAUCUAUAAUCAAAUAUGAGAUGAAUACUAUUUUAAAUUUUAUCCUUGGAUUAUUAUCUUUAUCCCUUGCACCAAAUGACCCCUUAAGACUUAUGUACAAUGGCGGACCCACGUGGUGGCUAGCGGGUUCAGUUGAACUCGCUUCACCAAAAAAUAAUACUGUAUAUAUGUAUAAAUUAGGAUUAAAACUGUGUAAAUUUUGUAUAAAUAUUUUAUUUGAACCCACUUGACAACUAUCAUUUUACGACUAAAAUUAUGUACUUUUAAGAUUGAACCCGCUUGCACAAAAUCCUUAGUCUGACACUGCAUAUGUAACCAAUAAAAUUAGGGAGCCUAGGGUUCGUUUACUUAUUUAAAAGUAUUAACAGUAAUUUUAUAUUGGAAUUUUGAUAUAAUUUUAUACAACAUUCAAUGGUAGAAGAAAGAUAACAAUUCAAGGAUUAAUUAAUUGAUAAGAAUAAGACUAGUAAAAUGGUACGAUUGCUCUUCAGCCAAUAGUCUUAUCUGCAUUCGUUCUUAAGAUUAAAAUUAAAACUUAAAUUUAUUUAAUUUAAAAUCAAAGACAUACUUUAAGUUGUACAUUGCAUAUCUUAUUUUAAUAUCAUUCACCAAACAAAUCAUAAGUACAACUUAUUAUUUAUUGAUCCAACCAAACAACCCCAUAAGGAAUGAGUAGUGGAGGUUGAGGAUGCCACGCCCGUAGGCAGUGAACCCCAGUAGUGAGUUGAAUAUUCAAAACUCAAAAGGCUUCGUCGAAACAAAAAAAAUUCAUUUCUAUUAAUGCUUAUGAGUUAUAUAUGUCUCUUUUUCCGUGGUCUAAAAUUUCAUUGAGAAUGGUACUCUUAUUUUUAGAUUAUUAUCUAAAAGUUGUAAGUUAUGCAGCUAUAAAUUAUGUAAUAUUAGUUCAACGCAAAGACGUCUCAAUAAAAUCCGUGGCCUAAAACCAAACUUUAAUUAAGGGCCUUGAUUUUUUUUUUUUAUCUAUAGUAUAGUUAUCUUGUAAAAUAUAGUAUGUAAUAUUGCAUUGGUUCCUUUUUUUCUUUCUUUCUUUUUGUCUAUAGUAUAGUUAUCUUAUAAAAUAUAAUAUUAAUAUUCACAUUGAUAAGAAAAUUUAAGUUAAUAAGAUGUUAGCCACGUAUUUACAAUUGGUUACGUUUGAUCUUAUUGUAAAAUAAUGUUAUUUAUCAAUAUGAAGAUUUGAGUAUCUUAAUUCAAAGUUCUAAAUAUUUUUCUAUUUGUUAAAAAAUAGAUAGUCUUUCUUUAUAAGGAUUUAGUAUUUUUGUUUUCUUUUUUCUAUAAACUUCAAUAUUGUUUAAACAACAAUAAGAUAGUAAAUCCACGACUAAAAAUAUUUUUGGGACCCCAAUAUUUAGGGGGCCUAAAGCAAAAGCUUUACUAGCCUCCCCUCGAGCCACCCCUGGUUCAAUGAGAUGUAUUGACUCUUCUAGAAAAGAAAUACUGGCUUGUUACCUGAACGAUGAACCUCAUUAAUUUCUUUUGCCAAAAUGUCACAGAGUUUGAACGUUUUUUUGACCAAAAGGAGAAUUAUCUGACUCAAGGACUUUUUUUUUUUUUCAAUUUGGUUGGAGCAAAAGCUAGGCAAUCCAGCCCCCUAAAGAUUAAUUUAUGAAUUAUUGUGUGUUAUCUAACUUCGCUCUAUCAGAUAGUUAGAACAGCUUUACUAUAACUAUAUAAGUUAUUUUCCCUACUUCAACAAUGGUUGCACGAUAAGAGACCUCAUUCUAUAAUUGUUAAGUUUGAAUACCUAAAAUAAACAUUUCAGUAUUUUAAAUUCGAUAUGUAUAUGUUGUUGGUGAUUAGUUAAUAGUGAAUCUUCCUAUAAUUGUUAAGUGUGUGUUGUUUUCUUUUGGUUUUUCCUUAUAGCGAUGAAGUAUGGGCAUUGGUGGAUUCGGCACCAAACUAACGUUAUGUGUGCCAUGAUUUGUGAAGCGGAGAAAGUCAAAAAGAAUCCUUGGCCAUUCCGAGAUUUCAGCGUAUUAAUAUGAUUGCUAUUAAAUUAGUACUAUUUGUUAGCACAAGAGUUAUGGACAACAUGAUGUUUGCCAAUUUAUUUUUCCUCCUAACUCCAAACCCACUCAUCUCUUCCCUAAGCCUGCUCCUAUUCCUAUUCUAGGCUUUCUACUCUUUUCUUUUCCUUUCAUUUCUUUUCUUCAACAAAAAGAUCAUUUCCAGCACAUGCAUGCAUAGGGCGUAUCUAGCCUUAUCGUAUCGGGUUUAUUUGAACCUAGUACAAUGCUUUUGAUGCGGAUCAUAAUUUAUGUGUAAAAAUUCAUUAAUAUUAUAAUAAAUAGUAGCUAUUAAUUUAUAACUUAUAACAUGUUCAAUGUUAAAAUACUCAGAUAUUGAACCCAUAGGGGUCGUUUAGUGUACGGGAUAAGGUGGUACUAAAUUUAUACCAUGUUUGAUUGACUGUAUAAAUUUAUCCCGGAAUAAAUUUAUAUCGUUAAUCAAAGACUUAAUCCUGAAUAUUCAUUUUAUCUCAUCUUAUCUCAUUAAACUUGGUAUUAUUUUAUCCCACUUUUCAAGUGGGAUAAAUUAGUGUAGGGAUUAUAAUCCUGCGAUUAUAAUCCCGAAAUAAAUUAGUCCGCGUACCAAAUGACCUCUAUCCAUAGAGUUUAAAUCUCGAAUCCAUGUGUGCUUGCAUAAAGUGAUCUGAAGUUUGUUGCUUACUCUCAUGGGUGUUUAAUAACAACUGUUUAGUGAUGGAGACUGAAACAAAAUUGACGAGUUUUAUUGUUUUAUUUAUGGUCUGUCCCUAUUGCAAAGGCAGCAAAUAUGCACAUGGAAUAGACCCAAUAGAUAUUAAUUUGUGAUCAUUAUUCUUGGCUGUUACGUUACUGUUCCUCAAUAACUCACUCUUCAUUCUUCUAUCAACCACUCUGGAUAUACAUAAUCCAAGCUUUCUUGAGCUCAAGCCAUUCGAAUUAAAUUUUUGGAUUCAGCAUGGUAAAAAUCAACUAUACAAAAAGUUGUAGAAUUCUCUCUUUAAAUUAUGUUGUUUUAAGUGUUUCGGAUGGGCUUAGUCUAGUUUCUUAAUAACUUACGAACAACAAUUUAAGUUAAUUAAUGGUCCAGGCAGCUUGUGAGAGUGUACAACCACAAAAAUGUUGUAUAAAUCUACAAAGUUGUAGCAGAUGGACUCACAUUGAAUAUUGUACUGAAUAUCCUAAGCUAAAAUCUUAAUGUUGUUAUUUUUAUGAAUCAACAACUGUGUCAUCCCCUUGGCCGUCUCUAAGAUAAACAUUAAGCAUGAUCUUUUUCUAACCUUCUACACAUCUUUAGCUUUUUGAUUGCAAGUGGAUUUGUAACUUAGCAAACAUAAUUAUUUACUUGGGCCGAGUAUGGACGUCCCCUUCUCUAUAUACUGUAUAUCAAACUUAAGUAACCAGAUUUUCUAAAGUUUAUUUACCAAAGGUAACUAUAUAUAUUCUUUACGAUUUAUAUACAUUCCAUUAAGGGAUUCAGUUAAGCACCUUCAAUUCACGGAUUAGCGCCUUAAAUUAAGGAAUUCAAUUACACUCUUUUUUUUUAUUUUCCCUUUUGCUGUAUUUUUCAUUCCAGAUUUGCCUAACAAAAGAAAGGCCGCCAGAGUAAUUUUCUUGCCAAACUCAGAGUUCUCAGAGCAUUUUUACGACCAAAUUUGAAGGUUUUUUUACCGUCUUAUUCUUUUAUUUUUUGUCAUUGCUCAAGAAGAAAAGAAGAUCAUUUGAGGUUUCUUGUAAUCGAAGCUUGAAAUCGUUGGCUUCGAUUCGAGUUUGAUGAAAUUAGUUGAAUUAGGCACUGAAUUUGCUGAUUCAGGACUCGACGUUGAAAAUUCGGUUCGAAAGUGAAAGAAUUCAACCUCAAAAUCGAAAGAAACCAGCUUCAUACUGGCGACUAUGGAAUUUGCAACAAAUGGAUAAAUGGCAACAACUCGAUAAAAUUGUUGCUAUAGAAUAGAUUUUUUGGCAACAAAAUUUUCUUGUUGGCAAACAUGUUAAUUUUGUUGCCAUAUGCUAUGAUUUAGAUAAUAAAUUUUAAAUUUUAAAAAUGGCAUCAACCUUCUAGCAACAACUAUAGUAUUGUUGCCGAAUUUUAAUAAAUGGCAACAACUAAUUUUAGUUGUUGCAAAAAUUAGAAUUUUUAACAUAAUAAAAUUAAAUUAUAAAGAGAAUUGGCAACAAUAAAAAUUUUUGUUGGCAAUGCACGUUAAAUUGCCAAUGAGAUGCGUGGGCUGUGGCAUAAAUUUUUUCAAUUUUCCGCCAAAAUUAAACGCGGCAAACCUUUCGCCUUUUAAUUACUUUUCUCGGACUUGUAGCCACGGGCGGCCCAAGAAAAUUGGUGGCCUAAAGCCAAUUUUUAAUUUGGGGCCUUUCAGAAGGAAAAAAAUUUAUCAUAAUAUCGAUGAUUCAUUCCGAUAUUUCUACACAUAGAACAACAUAAUUUAGCGCAAUUGUCGCACAAUAACUCACUUAAACCAAUAAAAUAUAGGGCGAGUAAUGUGCUAAAAGUAUAGAAUUUUGGCCUAACAUAAGUUGUUAAUAGUUUCUUUUAUAAAUAAUUUAGUCUCUCCUAAGAUAUUGUUGAUCUUAGAUAAUAUAACCAAAUUCAUAUAGAUACCUCACUAAUGAUGUCACUCGUAAAAUUUAAAUAAUAAAAAAGUUUUAUAUUCGCGACAAGGGUUUAGGAGGAGUGAUUCUCUUUCUGUAUUUUUUGCUCAAACGGUUACAUCACUACUAAAUUAAAAGUUAUCUUGACUACCCUAAAAAUUGUUGUGAGAUGUAUUUGAUCCAACUUACCUUAAUUAAAUAUAUUGAGUUCGAGUCCUGCGGUUAAAAAAAAUUCUGUUAAAACGUGUUCUCUCUUUUACUAGGUCUUACGCGGUACGAAUCUAGAUUAGUCGGGGUUUCAAUACAAAUACGAGUACAAAAAUAAAAGAAAGAUUUGGGGCCCUCAAAAUUUGGAGGCCUAAAGCCUUUGCUUUAGUGGCUUGACCCUUGGGCCGCCCCUGCUUGUAGCUCACUCUCUAGUAACCAUUCUUGCUAGGGUUUUUCUUAUCAGUUCUACUUGAAAGAGCCCUUCCCCUGCUGCGUCCUCCUUGUUGCGUCAUGUUGCUGCUGAUCGGAGAAGAACCAGUAAGAACUUUAUCUUCAAUUUCUUUACCCGGUUGCUUCUUCACUAAAUUAUGAAAAAUCAAUUUCUGUGAUUGUCUUUUAUUAGUGAAGUACUUAAUUGGGUAUAAGUAUCUUAAAUUCUUGGUUGAAUACAUACGCCGCCUCUUAAACUUGUCCGAAUUUUUCAUUUAAACACUCGAACUAAAAGAGAAAAAGAGAAAUCGCUUGAUUUUGGGCCUUUAAAAAAUUGUAGACUAAAGUCAUAUACAGAGAGUGUCUUAUACUUUGGAGAGAAAAAAUUAGAAGAAAAUAAAGAAUGCAGAUAUAAUGUGAUUUUGUGGUGUUAUGCAAAAUCGCCAAAUUGAGAUAUUAUGGCCAUAACAUGCUAUGCUUUCUGUGCUCGUUUAUGUGAUAUACACAACUGUGGAUGCUAAAAAUUUUACAAGUUAAAUAGAAAUACAUCAAUAGGCUAUAACUAUUUUAUUUUGUGAACAGUCCCCCUACCUUUACAAAUUACAAUUGUGCACUGUAGCAGGAAAGAUCACUACAACAGAGAAAGAGCAUAGUUUUGCUUAAUAGUUUGAUAAAGAAAAAAAUUGGAGUGCCUUGAAAGCUACUUGAAAUUGUUAUUUGUCCUCGUCCUGGUACUGAAAAAUUGAUUAGUCAGGCCCUGAAAUUUGGGCCACUACAAAUCUAACAACCAUAUAUAGUACAUGGUAGGAUUUCUAUAGUAGGUAGUUAGCUCUCUUCUUUUAUGUUAUAUGGUGUUGGUUCUUAUUUGAUGAUUUCUUAGCAUUAGCUUGGUUAUAAGAACUUUUUUAUAUCAUUCAUUGCUGCCCAAAUUUUUUUUUUUUGAUAUGUACUUGUUUACUUUAUAGUUUUCUUUUAUAAAAAAUAUAAUUAUAAUUUAUCUUUUUUAGUAGGAUGAGGAUGAGUAAAGCAACAUAGCUAACAAUAUGGUUCAUCUAAAGAUCAGGCUAUUAGAAGAAGAUUUACUUUUUGGGUUGUUAUUAGAUUAGAAAUAAUGACCUGUAGAUGCUUUUUUUUAAAAGUAAGAACAUGUGUUUUAGUAGUACUUAGUUUUUUAAAGUAUGUAAAUACUUAGUGCAUCAGUUGUAUUGACCUUUGCAAAUAUAUAUAUCAUGUAUUAAUUUAUAUAUAUUUGUGAUAUUUUAAAAGAAAAUGUGAAUUGUGUAUGUAACAACUAUUUUGUGUGCAGACGAGGACUAUAAAUAUGAUGGAUAUUAAUUGAAUAUGAUAAUAAGUGUAUGAGGUGUAUUUGAAGUAAUAUAGGGCAUAAGGAGAGCCCUUGGAACAAAUCAAGUUUGAAAUUACAUGAUAGACUAAAGUUCCAAAUGAGUAUACACAAGACCUAACUUUGAAUGAGCAUAUCUAUAUAUAUAUAUAUAUAUAUAUAUAUAUAUAAAGCGUUAUGCAAUGUACAACCUAUAAAAUAAAAAAUUUUCGAGUCUAGUUUUCUAUUUUCUAACUCUUCAAACUGUUUUUCAUUUGGAUAUUCCUACAAGAAGUUAAGACCAAAUUACCAAAGGCUGGCAGAGGAGUGAACUGGGGAUGCGAAGCAUCCGGAGCCGCGUCCGAAAGAAAGGCUGGCAGUGAAGUACAGCCAUAGCAUCCGGGUCCGCAUCCGAGCUUCAAAGAGGAGUGAACUGGGGAUGCGAAACAUUCGGGGCCGUCCAAAACCCAGAAAUCUAGGCCUAUAAAUACAAAAUCGGGAAAAUAUAGUAUUUUGUGUAUUGGGGGUUAGGGUUCUUGAGGCGAAGAGGUAAUUUUGAGCUCAAAUUAAGUCCAAUCAACAAAGGUAAGUUGUUAAUGAUAUUUUGGGUUAAUGUUUAUCAAUAUACAUGAGUUCUAACAUCAUUUUUACAUCCAAAUACUAGAUUUCAUCGUCAAAUCCUCAAGAACACAAAUAUUACCAAAGUUGUAAUUUUUCAAGAUUGAUUUACUAGAGGUAAAAUUAACCAAUGCUUCAACUCGUUUAUUAUGAGUAGUUAGAAGUAUUUGAAGUAUUUGUUACAAGUUUUAAUGGUUGAAAGAUUGGAUUAAGAAACUCUAGUUCAUUGAAUGAAUAGUACUUUUGAGAAAAUAAGAGAAAAGAUGAAUGGUAAUCUUGGCGAUACAAUUCAAGAAUACAAUGAACCUAUGCAAUUAUUUGUUAGCAAAAGAUGGAAGUGAUCAACUAAGUAAUCACCUGAAUUGUACAUUUUGCAAAUGUUCAUUAUGAAAGAUGAUGAAUAGUAACUUGGUGGCAUUAGACAAUUGAUGUAGUAUCAUUAAUGACUUUGAAUGGGUAUUUGUCACGACCUAAAAAUCUCACCCGUCGUGAUGACGCCUAUCACGAUACUAGGCAAGCCGACAACAGCAAUAACCCACAAUUUUUUUUAAAUACUGAAAACAUAACAAUUAAUUUAAGGGGAAAUCUCCCACCAACACUGAAUAUAAAUUUACUCCCAAAAUCCGGUGUCACUAAGUACAUGAGCAUCUAUACAUUACAAGUUUGGUAAACCCGGUCUAUAAUAAUCCGAGACUAAAUACAAUAAACAAGGGAUAAGGAAGGAGAGACAAGGUCUGCGAAACAUAGCAGUUACCUCUGAAUCUCUGGAAAAUCAACUGUGUGAAAGAAUCAACACCCACUGUAUCCGAGAUCACCUAGAUCUGCACACGAAGUAGAGGGUGUAGUAUGGUGUAACGACCCGACUUGUUGCUUUAAGAAUUAAUGCCCCGUGCAGUGACUUAAGGUCUCGAGCAACUUUAUAAUAAGUAUUUUGACCCGCGGGUGUGGUCGAGUUUGAUUUUUCGGAAGAUUCGGAAUUAAUCAAAAGAAACAAUCCUUAAUUUGAAGCUUAAAUGGAAAGAGUUGACCGGAGAGUUGACUUUUGAGCAAAUGACUCCGGAAUAAAAUUUUGAUGAUGUCAAUAGCUCCGUAUGGUGAUUUUGGACUUAGGAGCGUGUCCGUAAAAUUAUUUGGUGGUCCGUAGUGGAAUUAAGCUUGAAACGCCAAAAGUUGAAUUUUUGAGAAGUUUGACUGGGGGGUUGACUUUUUGAUAUCGAGGUCGAAAUCCAAUUUUGGAAAUUUGAAUAGGUCUGUUAUGUCAUUUAUGACUUGUGUACCAAAUUUGAAGUCAUUCCGAAUUGAUUUGAUGUGUUUCGGCACAAGAUAUAGAAUUUGAAAGUUCAAAGUUCAUAGAUUUAGAUUUGAGAUGCGAUUCGUCGUUUUGAUAUUGUCUGAUAUGAUUUAAGAAUUUGACUAAGUUUGUAUGAUAUUUUAGGACUUGAUGAUAUAUUUGGUUGAGGUCCUGGGAGUUCUCGGGUGAGUUCGGAUACCUAACGGAUCGAAUUUGAAUUUGGAGGAGGAGCUGAAGCAGCUAGGCAUCUGGUAUGAUCGCACCUGCGCGAAAAAGGGCCGCAGGUGCGAGCUCGCGGAUGCGAGGAAUUAGUCGCAGAAGCGGAAAUGCAUAGGCUGGCCAGGCACCGCGGGUGCGAAAAAUAUUACCGCGGGUGCGAAGCCGCAGGUGAGAAGAAUUCACCUCGGGUGCGAAAACCCUGGGCAAUACAAAAACAUAGGGGUUCCGAGGUUUUGCCAUUUUUGUGCAUUUCAAGCUCGGAUUGGGCGAUUUUUGAGCAAGGUUUUCAUGGGAAAACUUGAGGUAAGUCCCUUGUGAUCAUUUCUACUUUAUAAUAUUGAAUUAUCAUCGAAUAAUCCGAUUAGAUUACAUAUUUUUUAGGUGUAAAUCGGGGGUUUGAACUUAGGAAUUUGAAAACGAAAAUUUAAUAGUUGGAGGUCGAGUUGUUAUUGGAAUUUGAUAAAAUUGGUAUUGUUGAACUCGUAUCGGAAUGGGUGUUCGGAUUUCAUGAAAAUUUUGUUGGGUUCCGAGGGGCGGGCCUCGCGUUGACUUUUAGGAAUAAAUUUUUAAGUCUGCGUAUUAUUAUCCGGAAUUAUUUUCGAUGAAUUUUAAUGAAGUUAUACAAUUAAUUUGGUUAGAUUUGAGCGGUCCGGAGUUCAAUUCAAGCAAGAAGACGAUUUUGGAAUAUCGGCAUAACUUCAAAAAGGUAAGUGUCUUACUUACCCUCGAGUGGGGGAAUUACCCCUUAGGCAUCGAGUCUUAUGUGCCAUUUGUGAAAUGUGAAAAGCCGUAUACGCGAGGUGACGAGUACGUACUUGGGCUUAUACGUGCAAAAUUUUAUUGGAUUAAAGUCUUAGGCAUUAUUGUGUAGUAAAUUGGGUAAUCGUGGAUAAUUAUUAAAUCAUUUGUUUGUCAUGCCUAAAUUCUUGUUGUUGAAUUUAUUUUUAUAUGAUAAUUUGAUGAAAUUAUUACUUGUAUAUUUAUGUGAAUUCCGUGAGUUUGAUGGUUAAUAUUUAUUGGAAUUUAAUUUCAUUAUGGAUUUUCCCUCUUCAAAUAAUUAAUUAAGCAAGGUUAAGAAGAAGUGUUAAUAUAAUUAUCUAAAUUUACAUUAAUGAAGGCUUUGCUUUUUGUUGAGUAAUUUAUAUCUCUAUUGAUUAUUUUUGGGUGUUAUAUACAUUGUGUGGAGCCUUGGGCUAUUUGUUGUGAAAUUAAUUAAUUUUAUUAUAUCUUUGAAAAUUGGUUGUGUCCAUUGGACAAAUUGUGAUAUGAAUUGAUUUUAUUAUGUUGUCGUGAUAAUUUUUCGUGUAAAUUGUUGUGUUGUGUGAGUUAUUAUUUUGGGGAUAUAAGGGUAGCAUUUCACCGUUGAUAUUAUGUGGGUAUAAGGGUGGCAUUUCACUGUUGUUGUGUUUGUUGGAUUAUUGUCUGGGCGGAGCGAUAAGGGUGGUAAUAGGGGCGAUAAGUGUGGCUAUUGAUAUUGUCUGGACGGAGCGAUAAGGGUGGUUGUAGGAGUGAUAAGGGUGGCAAUAGGAGCGAUAAGGGUGGCUAUUGUCAGGGACGAUAUGUGAUGAUGUGUGGUGGUGGUGUUGAUGAUUUUCAUGUGAUGUUGUGAUUUUUUUGUGUUUAUUUUUAUACCUUGUGCAAUUUGUCUUGUUGUUAGUAAAUUGAUAACAAUCUGAUUUAUGUUGAAAUUGAAAGCAUGUGGUUAUUGCCAGCGGAUUAUAAAAUGAAAUGUGGGUACGAGGUGCCGUGAGUAAAUAAUGAGGAUAUUUGGCACGUGAAUUGUCCGUGCAGUUGUGAUAUUAAAUAUGGGCACGAGGUGUUGUGAUGAAAUGAUAAUGAUAUUUGGCAUGUGAAUUGUCCAUGCAGUUUUUAUAUGAAAUGAGGGCACGAGGUGUCGGAGAAAUAUGAUGAUUUAAUUAUGGGCACGAGGUGCCGUGAAAAUAUGAAAAAUGGGCUGAGACCCGUAUUUACGAAAAAUAUGAAAAUGGGAUAAGACCCGUAUUUUUAUGAUUUUGAAACGAGGUGUCACAUGGUGACUCUUUAAUCGAAAGAAUUAUAUUCAAAAUAUUUAUUUGAAAGGAUUUUUAUUCGAGAAGAAUUAUAUGAAUGAAUUGUAUUUGAAAGAUAUUUAUUCGACGAAAUUAUAUUUGAAAAAGAGUUUUAUUCGUAAGAAUUAUAUGUGAAAGAUAUUUAAUUGAAGAACUUGAUUUAACUGGGUAUAAUUGUAUCUAUUAAUUAUUAAGCGAUAUUAAAUGGUGAUUUUAUUGUCUUACUGUGCAUAUCAUUUGUUGUUUUAUGUUGCCUUGAUGUUAUUUGUUUCCUAUUAUUUUGUAUAUUAUAUUGCACAAGUUAUUAGACUAGUGAGUGUCUUGACUGUACCUCGUCUCUACUCCAUUGAGGUUAGUCUUGAUACUUACUAGGUACCGACCGUGGUGUACUUAUACUACACUCCUGCACAUUUUUGUGCAGAGCCAGGUAUUGAAGAUAUCGGACUUAAGCAGAGUUAAAGNNNNNNNNNNNNNNNNNNNNNNNNNAAUUUGUAGUCAAACAGUAUUGCAUAUUCGGUCCUCAUGAUCAUUCCAUGUAUUCAGUUAGAGUUCGUGGCUCAGUACUACCAGUCUUGGGAGGUUAUAUAUUGUAAUUAUUUUCGCUGUUAGUUUCUAUAAAAACAAAUGGCUACAAAAUAUAACUGAAAUCGGUUUACCUAGCCUUAGAGACUAGGUGCCAUCACGACGCCUAUGGUGGAAUUUUUGGGUCGUGACAUAUGGGUACAACCAACUCAUUAAGUAACAAUAAUAAAUAAAGAAGUGAAAGUAGUGACGAGCUUCUCAGCUUAGUCCAAAUACAGUACUUUCCAACAUAAAAGGAUAUGCAUGCUCUCAAGUUCAACAUUUAAAAUUUCACAUAAAUUUUAUAUCAAAUUUGACAGACAAAAAAAAAA
rnacentral:lncRNA from 1 species